UGACAGUCAGGCAUGACACCUGGAGCAAUGAGCCAGGUGUGUGAGACUGUGGACCAACCUUCACAAAGACAGAGUACCUUUUCUGAUUCGUUUACUCAGUGUGGUUACACCAACUAAAAAUGUCCCAGUGGAGAAAACGGUAACAGCUGCUGAGCUCACAGAUAAACAGGACAAAAGUGUGUAGAGCCACCUGACAGGAGAACACACACACACCAGGCUCAAAGAUCAGUGGUGAGCCUCCUCCAAACAGGGCAACAUCUCAUCAGUGAGCAGGAGCACAGACAAAGGUUUAUCAGGGCAAUGGCUUCCACAAGUUCACCUGCUACUCCAGAACUGCAGUGGAUACCUCUUAUAUGGAUCAAACAGCUUGGGACAUCAUUAUCAGAGGUGUUUCUGAAUCUAGUGUCCGAAUCAGAACAACUGUAAAGAAUAAUCGGCAGGUUCCACCAAGAACUCCUGGGUGUGAUGGUGCAGAAAAUCCAGCAUCAAACUCCGAGGCUGAAAAAUGAAGCCAUCACUGAAGAACCAAAACCUGCAGUUCCUCUAAUGAC